rnacentral:lncRNA from 1 species
UGAAUAGUAAAUUUACUCGUAUCAACACGCCAUAUCACUUGGGUCAGUUGAAAAUGACAGGAACGUGCCAGACUGAACAACAAGAUGGCACGCAACUUCGAAGGUAGGAUUAAAAAUAAUUAUGUUUAGAAUUGAAAACAAUUCGGAGACUGAAAAUACAGAAAUUGGAUGGCUAAAACAAAUGUUGUGCAUGUAAAGUUUGUCCCACUAGAAUUCCUCUACAAAAUAAUGGAAGAUCCUGAACUAGCAUUAUAUUGUCGAAAAUGGUUGAUCAAGGCGAUUACAAAGAAAACUAUCUGAUAAAUAAAAUUUUGAUGUCUCACCACAUGUAUCUUUUGGUGAGACUCGCAUAAAAAUUUCCAAACUAAAAAAAAUCAUACACGAGUAACUUGAGAGCAUGAGCCAUCCUGCAAACCCAAAAAGAAAGUCCACUAAGAAAGUAAUGCAAAUAUUUGCACGUAAAUAAGCAGAAAGAAAAAGCAACAAGUUUCUCGAGAUGUCCAAGUCAUAUGAUCCAGAAUUACCACUCCCUCAAUUGGGUUAAAGGAAAUAUUGAUGUCAGUGUAAACAGAUGAAACUGUAUGUCGGAAUGAAAUUGCACAUUGUGGCUGUUGAUUGAUAUACUGAAAAGGCAAAAUCCUGGACAAAAACAGAUAAUGCAACUACUGUACUUUAUUUUACAGUCUUUAGUUUUCCCUUUCAAAGACACUGGUCAUAUUUCAGUCACUUGGUGAUACACCCCAAGAGUCGAGAAAAACUGAGAAUUGCACUCCCAACAUUUCUACAACUUUCAGUUUGCCCUUAGUGACCCCAGUGUACCAAAAGGAAAAAAGAAUCUAAAUCAAGUCAGCAUACCCAACUUCACUGGUUAUGUAAAAUAUUCAUCCUAGCAAAACACAUCAAAUAAAAAAUUUCAAAUGAUUUAGAAGAACUAAUUGACAAUUAGACCGUCAGAUUGCUUCAGCAGUUCCAUUCGUGAAUGCAAGACAAGAAGUUAAAUAUAUCAGUAGAAUCUAUAGAUCUAUGACAAUGGAAAAGAACAGUCAUUGCAGCACAAAUGAAAAAUGCAGAUUCAAAGUGUUGAAGACAUAAUUUAAAUAUAUAAAAGUAGGCUUACUCUUAACACUUUAAGCUUUUAGAUGAGGUGAUCACACACUUCAACAUGGUAUCACAAAACAGAUAGCGGUCUCACCACCAUCUAUCAUCAAAAAGAAAUUUCUAUGUGCUCGACUCAUGAAAAAAAUUCAAGCCCGCACGUGAGAGGGCUUGUUGAAGGCAUAAUUUAAAUAACUAAAAGUGGGUGUUGCCUAACAACUUUAAGGGUUAGAAAGUAGAAAGGCCAUCCUUACCUAGCCCUGAACUAACGAAACUCAUCAUGGUAUUCAUAGUCUUCGUCAUCCUCGUUAAAUAUUGCACUAUAGAACACGUAUGGGCUAUCAAUCAUCUCUUUUAGAGUAAGCCUUCCAUCUUUAUCUGCAUCAGCCUGAGAGAAAACAUAGCAGAAUUAUUUAACACCACUAUUUCCCACUCAGUUACUACACAAUCAGCAAAGAAGAAUAAUGUGCAUUCUGAUUCGAUAUUGUUUUAGAACAUUUCGGUUUUACAUGUGACAUUAAGAUUCAAUCAUAUCAAGGUUUUUUGGUUAACUAGUACACAAAAAGAACAAAACUGGGGAACUUGUAAAGUGAAAUUUCCUUAAUAUAUUUCACAUUCUUCAUUUUAACCAAUAAGAAUAAGAGUUUCUCCUUGCAAUCUUCUUUAAACGUGCAUAUAAGAAAAAAGAAGAGACACACCAUUACAUUGUAAUGUUCACCAAUAACAAGAGACCAGUACUUUCCACGAGAUUCAUUAAUGUAUACUGAAAUUGAGAAAAUUGGCCACAGAGUGUACAAUCUAGGGGUGGCAAAAUUAACCCAAACUCAUUUGACCCGCCCAACCCGACCAAGUUUUAAUGGGUUUGGGCUAGAAGGAUUUUGAAAAUGGGCUAGCCUAAGUUAAC